GAUGAACGCUGGCGGCGUGCCUAAUACAUGCAAGUCGAGCGAACGGGCGAGAAGCUUGCUUUUCUGAUGUUAGCGGCGGACGGGUGAGUAACACGUGGAUAACCUACCUAUAAGACUGGGAUAACUUCGGGAAACCGGAGUUAAUACCGGAUAAUAUUUUGAACCGCAUGGUUCAAAAGUGAAAGACGGUCUUGCUGUCACUUAUAGAUGGAUCCGCGCUGCAUUAGCUAGUUGGUAAGGUAACGGCUUACCAAGGCAACGAUGCAUAGCCGACCUGAGAGGGUGAUCGGCCACACUGGAACUGAGACACGGUCCAGACUCCUACGGGAGGCAGCAGUAGGGAAUCUUCCGCAAUGGGCGAAAGCCUGACGGAGCAACGCCGCGUGAGUGAUGAAGGUCUUCGGAUCGUAAAACUCUGUUAUUAGGGAAGAACAUAUGUGUAAGUAACUGUGCACAUCUUGACGGUACCUAAUCAGAAAGCCACGGCUAACUACGUG
rnacentral:rRNA from 1 species